UUAGCGGCGGACGGGUGAGUAACGCGUGGGAACAUACCCUUUGGUACGGAAUAGCCUCGGGAAACUGGGAGUAAUACCGUAUGUGCCCUUCGGGGGAAAGAUUUAUCGCCAAAGGAUUGGCCCGCGUUGGAUUAGGUAGUUGGUGGGGUAAUGGCCUACCAAGCCGACCCAUAGCUGGUUUGAGAGGAUGAUCAGCCACACUGGGACUGAGACACGGCCCAGACUCC
rnacentral:rRNA from 1 species